GCUCGGAUGGCGGAGGGUGAACGAAAAGGACCAGCAGCAGCCACGCACCCAGAGAUCUCCAUGAACACCCAGGUGAAACGUGGAAGAGUUGUUCCAGAAGAAAACAACUGCAUUGUCCACCUUAACUGAAGGCAGCUGCAAAAAUCAAAAGCAUGAAAAGCUUUUUUUGCACUUAUAAACAGUGAUGCUCAUUGUAAAGAAAAAAAACAUCCUUUUUCAGUACAUUCUCUUCUGUGUGUCGCAGACGAUGGUUAUAGAUGACAGUUAGGGAAGUUCCAUAGGAAAUUCCCCUGAAGUUGCAAAAAGUACCUCUCUGUAAUAUGGUUAUAUUUGACAGCGCAAAAAGCGUUUUUAAAACUUGCCAAAGACAGAUGAAAAAUGCAGCAAUUGUGAAAGAAACAGAUAUUCAGUGCUUCGGGGUUGAGGGCCCACGUGCACCUUUGAAAAGAACUAACGUUAGGCAUCCCAUUUUUUAGUACUGCUACUGCUACUUUGGUCCAGACGAAUGGAUCUGCACUGAAUUUUCUGCAGUCUCGCACACAGCUGGAGACAGUGGAAUAUUUUCUGCUACUCUUUGUAAAUACCCCAUAAAACGCACAGUAAGGAGCUACUUCAGCCUGGCAUCAAGGCAGGCGGUCAAUGUCACCUCCCUGCAGCAAAGCCUAGGAGCACCACUUUGAAGCAAAGCACGGGCCCUGGGCUCUGUUGAGUAGGGGCCCAAAACUCUGACAGACACACCCCGAAGUCAGGAAUAAUAGGAUUCCACCCCUAUUUUAUAUGCUCAACUGCAGGCUUCCAGCUCAGAGCCAGUCAUCAGGACUCUCUGCACAGCAAGCGGACAGACAGAAGUACAGCAAGAGUGUGACUCACCCUGCUAGGUUGGGUGUCGGAAAGAGGUCACACCAGCCAUGGGCUGUAACUGUGUGUUUCUCCAUCGUUCAGUUACAGCAUUUACAGCAAGUGACUGGAUGACACAUAGACUUCUACUUCCCUGGCACCUAAAACAAUAUGAGACGCAUCCCAUUCAGAACAAAACAAAGUCUAUAGAGAAACUUUGGGACACAGGAGAGGAAGAGAAACAAGUCUACAGAUCUUUUUUUUUCCUCUUUUUUAAUUCCUGCAUGAUCCUGCUGCAUCAGUUAUCAGGUAGGAGAAAAACAGGAGUGUGGAUAUGUAAAAUAGUGAUGGGAUUGUCUCUGCUUCUGCCUUGUUACUUAUGUGGGCAAUGAAGCCUAGGGAUGCGGUAUACACCGUGCUGUAUUCUUGUCCCCAAAUGUCCUUCAUUGUCCUAGGAUAAUGGGGCAGAGACAGAUGCCACAGCCUCCACUUACACCCAUAAUUACUGCCUGCUUUCACAUUCUGUUCAGAUGCACCAAUGUUCUUGUACAAAAUAUGUGCUACCCAGAGAUCGUUAUGCUCAGAACUAAAUGCCUAAAUCCAUGCAUGAGACUCUGGGACAAACACAUUCCCAGGGCUACGACUGAAGAGAAAAUCUUCACUAAUUUUGAUAAGCUUAGAUCUUGCAAAAAACGGGCACUAUGGGGAAGUUCGUUAAAGAAGGAGAAAAGCCACAACUUAUUUUACAUAGAUAAGAAAGAUAUAUAAUAAAGGAAAGCUGCACUUGGUGGCAAGCAUGCAAAAGGACUGUUGAACAAACUGCGUUUUUGGCCAUAUACCAUCCAUCUGGUGUUCUCAAUCAGGCACAGAUUCUGUGUAAAAGCAGUAAACAGUUAAGUAAUAAAAGAUCAAGUCAAAAUGCGUUUUUGGAAGAGAGAGGUGCAAAGGUUAGGCAGGCCCCACCACCACACUCACCACAUUGCUCCCUGGUUUCUGAGCUCUUCGUUUUGCAAUCAGGACAUUCCUGUAGCGUAAUGGGGAAUCUGGCAUGAAGCUCUGCACAAUGUGUUUCUUUAUGAUUACCUAGCAAAGUAUAAAUGCUGCAUUCCCAGAGCCAAAGAGCACCUAUAAUUUCCACUGAAGUCAGUAGAAGCUUUGGUAUUAUUUUAAAUCCCUGACAGUAGGCUUGCUUAAAUUUUCCAUUUUAAUUCUUUCAAAAUGUUAAUAGCUAACUGAAGAUAGCACAAAACCAUGUAAAACAGCACUGUAAAUUGUGCACAAAGUUUAUUAAUGGACGUUGGCUGAGGUGUUACUUUUCAGGCAGUGUCUCCAGUUGCACCAAGAGCUCCAACUAGCUAUUACAGUUGUUUUCAGCUCUGUCCCUUCUUUUCCUUCAAAUAAUGAUGCAUCCAUAUAUAACGUAAUAGAACACCAUGUGAUCCAAGGUAUCCCCAUAAAAUGAAAUGUGCUUCGGAUCAGAUCCUUGUUAUUAUAUGGAUGGUGAACAUUUGAUCUGCAUUUAUUGCAGUUGGGCUGGAGAUCAGAGACAAAUAAGUGUCCUCAGUAGGGCGGUUAGCUGAUCUUUACUUAUAAUUUCUAAAUAAAGACUACGUUCCCAUGAACAGUGGCUCAGUGCAGCCUACUAACCAUAGUCCUUGUGUCAUUCCACUAAAAGAAUUCUCUUUCCUUUUCUGCAUGGCUGUGCUGAAUUCUCAACAGUUAUCUUUCCCCUGUCUCAAAGGCACACCGUGUGGCACUCAACUGUCCUUUCGAAACGAGGCAGAAAAUUGUUUUCGCCACACCAGAAAAUAUCAGUUAUAUAUCAACCAUUUUUGGGAUGUCCAAGGAAAAACUCUCAAUUCCCCCAAGGUGGAGCAGGAAAAGAUACAGAAGAGAGGAGAAAUCAGUAGUUGCAUGACAGCCUCUUAAAAUACGGUGAAUUUCCACUGAUUUCAAAAAAUUUGACCCCAGUUUGAUUCUAGGAUAACAUUUGACUUGAAAGGAGAGGAAGCCAUUCCUCCUCUUCACAUCCUGACUUCUGUUUACACAGACUUAUUGUGCAACUCAUCCAUGCCGCUGAUCCUCUUAUGCUCUGAAUCAUGACAUUUGCUUGGACUGUUAUGAUAAAAACUCAUUCAAUUCUGGCAGAUAAAGUCUCUGUUUUCCAUGCAUGCCGGCAGACAACACAGUAAUAAGAACACAGAUCCAAGAGCAAAACUUUCAGAAGUUCUUCAGGGCACGCAUUGAAAAGGUGGAAAAGUGUGUCAGAAGUGAAAAGGGGCCACCAAAUGGGUGUAAAUAGAAUUCUGCUGCAAGGCUAUUUUUCACUGCCAAGAAGGUGUAACAAGGCCUCAGAGUUAAUGAGAAUCAAGCCUUAAGGCAGAGAAGACAGAUGUUGGCUCACAGCCCAAAGAUAAAUUAAUGUCAGAUAGCAGAAUAGACAAUGCAACAACGUAACUCAACUGAUUUUAAUACAAAUAGAUAGUGACGUCAAAGGCAGGAGCCCUUUACACAGCAUGGACAAGGUGGGAGCAAGGAACCAACCUACAGGAAUGGUGGCAUCUGCUACAAUCUCCUGCCAGGUCAGCCUGGGUAAACAACCAACCACUCAAGUCAAAAGCUUCAUCAUAGCGAGCUCCUGAUACUUCUCUCUGGAUGCAAACAGCACCUCAUAUUUCAGCUCAUUGGAAAAGUUUGUAGAUGACUUAUCUGUGCUUUUGCUCAACUCUCUACGAGUGAUCCUCCUGCAUAAACUCAUUCUGAGCAGAAAUCAAUAGCUCUUCAGGUGAACUGGACGUACCUCUCAAUUCUGGAAAGAUGGGUUUAUCAGGAUCUUUCAAAAUCAUACGCAAUCCAUCCUGGUCAUUUGUACACAGUCAUAUGCAAGAGGUUCGCAUUUUCACUCUUGUUAAGAAAGUGACAGCUCAAACAGGUAACCAACAAGAGCUAAUGACAGAGAAGAUAGAAAUUCAUCACCUCUCCCACCUAGGGUUUUCUAAGAACUUUCUCUAUGCAGAACAUCAGCACGAGACCUCUCCUCGCAAUGCUUCUGCUUUAAUUGCAAGUCUCAGCAUCUGCCUGGCAAGCAACUAUUUUUUUUCCAGGGGUUCAUAACUCCAGUUUAACAGAUUGCUUUAGGCUGACACAUGGUUUCAACUUGGGAGCAAGCAUUUCUUUUAUAAACGGCUUUUUCUUUUCUUUUAAAUGGUGAUUUCUUUUUGUGUUUGCUUGUAAUGUAUGUAAAAUGAUUUGGGAUGCUUUUUGCACUUGUGUACAGUAACUCAAAAGCAGCUUUCAUUGGAACAGUGGAAUUUGGCAAGUGAACAGUCAAUAUUGCCCUCUAAUUGCUUUUAGCGUCUUUGCAAAAAUAAAAACGUCAUUUAAAA
ensembl:lncRNA